CCAUACAAAGGCAUCUCCGGCCGAACGGUUUUUCAAGACGGGUAAACAUCCCGUUUACCAGUCGAGAGUUUCACUUAACCAUUCCCCUCCUGCAGCCAAAGUGAUACCGGCUGUAGCAUCCACCGGUAAUGUGUGGAAGAGGGUAAGCUUUCUAUGUGGAUAGGACGUAUCAACACCCUUUGCAUCUUAAAAAGGAAAUAUCUAAGAAUUGUGUUGGGUCCUGAGGACCAGGAUGGCCGAAGAUCAAAACCUAAAUGUGCCAGGGGUUGAUCAUCGAAGCCAGGGCGAAGAAGGAAUUUGAACGCUGAUGUAGCUAGCAGCCACCUUCAUAGUCGAUUCAUUAGGGUCAUCACCUUCUACCCAACUAGUGGAAAUAUCCACCGUUUUCUUUGUCUGUUAAGCCUCACAGCUACUGCUGUACGGCCAAGGCGGAUGUACGGUACAGCAGUUAAAGAAUGAUUUUAGCUUAUAGUGGAGCGUAGGACAGACCUUAGACCAUGACUGACGGAAGGCAGUCAUGGAGGGAAGGCAAAGAAAGCAGACCUUUUCAAGAAAGGUUUAUGCGACUAAGGUUUAACUCAAACCUCAGCAACAUAAAAAGGAAGAACGGGUUAUCGCAACCUUAUGGGGGUGCCUUCUGAGGAGGAUAAGACAGAGCAUCGACAUAGAAUUGCUUAAUGGGGGAGCCUUAACAGCAGAAGCUG
rnacentral:lncRNA from 1 species